rnacentral:misc_RNA from 1 species
GGCGGUUGUCUGUUAUUCAGAUAUAUGAGGCUUGGAUGGUUAUUUGGGUAAUGGAGGAUUACGAUAAGGAAGAAUGGCGAAUGGUGGACAAAGUUAGCCUUAGAUGCAUUAGAGGGAUGGUACCGGGCAUUUUCCCAAUAAGUCAAAAUGACAACUUUGUUUACCUAGCUACACAUAAGCAGGUUUUAGUUUAUCAGAGAAACAACCGUGUGUGGAAGGAAAUGUUCUCGGUAAAGGACAGCUCAACCUUGCCUUUAUGGUUCUCAGCACAUGCCUUUAGAGGCACUCUCUUUUCAUGCCAUUGAUCCGAUGGUCGUGUACAUCUUUCUAUUCAAAUUGUGUACAUAAUGCUAUCGUUAGUCUUAAUUCCUAUCUCAUAUAUUGGGCAUCAUCUUUAUCGUUUGUCAUUUUGUGCAUACUGUGUGGAACCUCAAAGAUGGUUUCGGCUAGGAUAUUGUCAGUUAUAUGUUCACUUAUCGGGGAGAAUGACAAAUGGUUGACAAAGUAAGUCUUCAAUGCAUUAGAGGGAUGGCACCGGGCAACUUCCAGAUAAGUCAAAAUCACAGCUUUGUUUACCUUGUACAUAAGCAGGUUUUAGUAUCAAAUAAACUACCGAGUAUGGAAGGUGAUGUACUCUGUGAAGGACAGCUCAACCGUGUGUUUAUGGUUCAUAUCACACGCCUUAACAAGC